rnacentral:tRNA from 1 species
GCGAAGGUAGCUCAGCUGGCAGAGCGUAUGAUGCCAAUGUGGAGGUCGCGGGAUCGUAACCCGUUCUUCGCUC